CAGGCAGCUACUUUGCUUGCGAACGUGUCUGAAAUUUUGCAACAUGGAAAUUACGAAAAUCUCAACUUCUUACUAUCACGUCAAAUAUUUGUGGAUAAAUGACCUCAACCCUAGAGACGAUUGAGAUUAUUUGCUCAGAGUUUUUCUUAACUUUACAACAUCAAGCUACAAAACCUGGUAAUUGACAUGCUAAGCGGAAAUACAAACGAGUUAACAGUCGUGUGUGAAGACCAGCGAAAUGUCUGUCAAGCAAAGCAGAAAGCAGGAAAAAGAACAAUAAACAAAAAAGUUGAGAAUUCUUGGUGGCUUUUGGUGGCUCAGAGAGCUCGACAAGCAAUUUCGAGCAUGACAUGCCUUUUUCUUUUAAGCCAUGGAGUAUAUGAGGAAACCUCACUGUUGAAAGUCAAGUACAUUUAUCAUUUUAAUAAAAGGAGAUUAUCAACUUUUUUGCGAGAAAUAAUUAUGUUUUUUAGUUUUAUGAUUGAUGCCAAAAUGAAUUACAGUGUAAAAAUAUAUAAAAGUAGUGUAAGGCUUGAUGAGAUUAUUGGAAAAAUGUCAAAAAGCAAACGUCUUUUUUAACUAAAAGCAAGCGAUUUUUAACGAACAUUCGAAUAAAUUGACACUGAUGAAGAUUCAGUUGUUAUAACAGCAAUCAAUACAAUAGGGAGAGAAUACACUUGAGAAUUGA